CAGUAGCCGCGGUAAUACGUAGGUGGCAAGCGUUGUCCGGAAUUAUUGGGCGUAAAGGGCUCGCAGGCGGUUUCUUAAGUCUGAUGUGAAAGCCCCUGGCUCAACCGGGGAGGGUCAUUGGAAACUGGGAAACUUGAGUGCAGAAGAGGAGAGUGGAAUUCCACGUGUAGCGGUGAAAUGCGUAGAGAUGUGGAGGAACACCAGUGGCGAAGGCGACUCUCUGGUCUGCAACUGACGCUGAGGAGCGAAAGCGUGGGGAGCGAACAGGAUUAGAUACCCCCGUAGUCCCUGUCUCUUAUAC
rnacentral:rRNA from 1 species